UAAGAUAUAUUCUUUAAAAGCCUUGGCC
rnacentral:piRNA from 1 species